rnacentral:rRNA from 1 species
GACGAACGCUGGCGGCGUGCCUAAUACAUGCAAGUCGAACGCAGUGGGGACGGGUGAGUAACACGUGGGUAACCUCCCAUCAGAGGGGAUAACACUUGGAAACAGGUGCUAAACCGAUACUGAUGGAUGGCCCCGCGGUGCAUUAGCUAGUUGGGGAGGUAACGGCUCACCAAGGCCACGAUGCAUAGCGGACCUGAGAGCGGGAUCGGCCACACUAGGACUGAGACACGUCCAAGACACGUACGUGAGGCAGCAGUAGGGAAUCUGCGGCAAUGGACGAAAGUCUGACCGAUCAACGCCGCGUGAGUGAAGAAGUUUUUCGGAUCGUAAAACUCUGUUGUUAUAGAAGCGGUAUCUAACCAGAAAGCCACGGCUAACUACGUGCCAGCAGCGGCGGUAAUUC